rnacentral:rRNA from 1 species
GACGAACGCUGGCGGCGUGCUUAAUACAUGCAAGUCAACUUGACUUUAGAUAGCAAUAUCGAAAAGUAGGGUGGCGCACGGGUGCGUAACGCGUAGGUAAUCUGCCCUGAGGUCUGACAUAACCCGUCGAAAGGCGGGCCAACAUCAGAUGAUAUAUAAUCACGACAUCGUGGAAAUAUCAAAUCUUCGGAGCCUUGGGAUGAGCCUGCGUCUGAUUAGGUAGUUGGCGGAGUAAUAGCCCACCAAGCCUACGAUCAGUAGCUGGUCUGAGAGGAUGAUCAGCCACACUGGAACUGAGACACGGUCCAGACUCCUACGGGAGGCAGCAGUAAGGAAUAUUGCUCAAUGGGGGAAACCCUGAAGCAGCAACGCCGCGUGAAGGAUGAAAUACUUUUGUAUGUAAACUUCU